rnacentral:tRNA from 1 species
GCCUGGGUGGCUCAGUGGGUUAAGCAUCCGACUUCGGCUUAGGUCAUGAUCUCGCGGUCCGUGGGUUCGAGCCCCGCAUCAGGCU